GGGUCCCAGGGGGGUCCCCAGGCCGGGGGUCCGCUCUCACCGCGCAGCAGAGCCCUCACGAAGCGCCCGGCUCCCGGCACCGCCAGCCACCAACUCCCGGCAUCGCGCACGGUCAGGAGCCCCGCGGCCACCAGAGCCCUGCUGGGGCCACCAGAACCCGGCUGGGGCCACCAGAGCCCUGCCGGGGCCACCAAAACCCGGCUGUGGCCACCAAAACCCGGCUGUGGCCACCAAAACCCGGCUGUGGCCACCAAAACCCGGCUGGGGCCACCAAAACCCGGCUGGGGCCACCAAAACCCUGCUGUGGCCACCAAAACCCAGCCAUGGCCACCAGAACCCGGCUGUGGCCACCAGAACCCGGCUGGGGCCACCAAAACCCGGCUGUGGCCACCAGAGCCCUGCUGGGGCCACCAAAACCCUGCUGGGGCCACCAAAACACGGCUGUGGCCACCAAAGCCUGGCUGUGGCCAUCAGAACCUGGCUGUGGCUACCAGAACCCGGCUGUGGCCACCAGAACCCGGCUGUGGCCACCAGAACCCCCCAGAGCCACCCUGGGGGUCCCAAACCCCACCCUGGGCUGUCCCCAGGUCCCCCCAGGUGUCCCCAUGACCCCCAGGUGUCCCCAGGUGUGUUCCAGGUGUGUUUUUGGUGUCCCCAGGUGUCCCCCCAUGACCCCCAGCUGUCCCCAAAUGUCCCCAGGUGUCCCCAGGUGAGGUUUUGGUGUCCCCAGGUGUGUCCCAGGUGUCCCCAUGUCCCCCCAGGUGUCCCCAGGUGUCCCCAGGUGAGGUUUGGGGUGUCCCCAGGUGUGUCCCCAGGUGUGUCCCAGGUGUCCCCAGGUGUGUCCCCAGGUGUCCCAGGUGUCCCCAGGUCCCCGCAGGUGUCCCCAGGUGUCCCCAGGUGUCCCCAGCUGUCCCCAGGUGUCCCCAGGGGUCCCCAG
rnacentral:lncRNA from 1 species